rnacentral:antisense_RNA from 1 species
GCUCAGGUAUGUCUUUAUUAGCAGCGUUCUUGAGGAUACAAUCAACCAAGGUACACUUUAAAUUAAAGCAGAUAUGUGGAUGAAACAGGAAAAAUACAAGGAUAUUCAAUAUCAACAUUUCCAUUAAGAAUUGUACCGGGGCAUCUGGCCAACAGAAUUCAGAGCCCCAGCCUGUUCAUAAAAAAAAUCAGAUGAAUUUUGUCUGCGAAACAUUCUGCAAAAAUAUCUGACCAGUAAAUAAUCCUCUAAAUAGCCACAGCAAGGAAAGUCUGAGAAAGUGUCACAGCCAAGAGGACCCUAUAAAGACAUGAUGACUAAAUGUAACAUGGUGUCUUCCAUGGGAUCCUGAGACAGAAAAAGGACAUUAGAGCUGGGCAUUGUGGUAUGUGCCUUUAGUCCUAGCUACUCUGGAGGCUGAGGCAGGAGGAUCACUUGAGCCCAGGACUUUGAGGCCACUGUAAGCUAUGAUCAUGCCACUGCACUCCAGCUCAGGAAACAAACAGUAUUUGUUCAACAAACAAAAGAAAAUAAAAGAAUGGUAGACAAGGCAAUAGGUAUUUUUUAAAGUGAGAGAAACUAUCAGAGAGCUGAAGCAGAAAAGCAAGUUAAAAAUAAAGGAAACAGAAAAGGAACUGAUAUAGCUGAUUUGAUACUAGAAAGAUCACCCAGGAGGCAGCACGGAGAAUGGAUUGGAGAAGG